GAUCCAAUAGCAAAAAUUAAAGUUGUUGCAGUUAUAAAGCUCGUAGUUGAACUUCUGACUGGGUAUAUGGGUCCGCUCUUACGAGUGUGCACCAUGCUUUUUUGGCCAUCCUUUGGGAGAUCCACGGUGGCAUUAAGUUGUUGGCGCGGGGAUCCCAAUCCUUUACUGUGAUGAAAUUAGAGUGUUCAAAGCAGGCGUAAGCUGUUGAAUAUAUUAGUAUGGAAUAAUAACAUAGGACUAUUGUACUAUCUUGUUGGUUUGCGCACAAUAGUAAUGAUUAACAGGGACAGUUGGGGUUUUAUGUAUUCCAUUGUCAGAGGUGAAAUUCUUUGACUUUUGGAAGAUAAACUACUACAAAAGCAUUUACCAAAGAUGUUUUCA
rnacentral:rRNA from 1 species